rnacentral:lncRNA from 1 species
UGUUGGCACAGGCCCGAUCAAGCGUUGUACGCCGGCUCCUUGACGAGUACUUUCCGUCGACCGAACUCGUACGUACAAUACCACGGUUGAUCGAUUCUUCCUGAGACAAGGUGCACGUACAAAGCUAGCUAGCAAGCAGCCUAGUAGCUGGAUGGAUUUUACUUGGUGUCAGCUAGCUUCGAAUACUACUCGGUGUCAGCUAGCUUCGAAUACGAGCCAGAUCAAGUUGCCGGCGAAACACUGAAAAAUACACGCACGCAAGACAACACUAAGACGCCGAGAUUGAUGGCUACGGGAGCGUGUCGCUUCCGAAUAUUUCUGUGUAUUGCUUUGAUCUUCUUGGUACAAAGUACAGGGGUAUACAUGAGUAUAUAUAUUAGCUAGCUAGGCUGCCAACUAAUCCUAAUUCUACUCGGUGAUUGACGUGGAAACUUACACGGACUCGUACACGGAAACUAAUCCUAGGACGCCGUGGUUAUUCCUAACAAUCACCCCCCUAAACACGAUGUCCUCACUUCACAGCUUCGACACCAAUCCUUCGUCGCAUCUUCAUGAACUUCCGUCGUCCCAAAGAUCUGGUUAGGAUAUCUGCAAGCUGAUCGUCGGUGCAAACAUAGUUGACAUCAAUCUUGCUUUCUUCCACGCACUCCCGUAGGUACCGAUACCUCGUAUCGAUGUCUUUGCGUCUAUCAUGACACACUGGAUUCUUCCACAGAGAGAUUGUAGACUUGUCGUCAACAUUGAGCACCACUGGUUUCCGUUCCUUACUUGUGAGGUCACCGAGUAGUCUUCCUAGGCACACACCUUGACACACCGCGGUUGCAGCUGCAAUAUACUCUUCUUCACGGCAGGAUAAUGCGACCACUUUGUGCUUUUGUGAUAGCGAACUCACUAUAUUUCCUCCCAAGAAAUAUACCACGCCCGAGGUACUUUUACGGUCGUCCACAUCUCCUGACAUGUCAUUAUCACUGUAGCCCGGUAGCUUCAUCAUCUCCUUCUUCUUCUCUCUCAAAUAGACACAACCGAAGUUUGUUGUCUCUUUGAUGUACCUGAGUAUAUUUUCCACAGCUGCCCAUUGUUUCGUCAUGGGUGCUUCCAUGAAGCGACUCAUUAUGUCAACAGAAUAGGCCAAGUCCGGUCUUGUAUUUGUGAGAUACCUCAACUUUUGGACCACACUUCUAUACUCCGUUGCAUCAACCGCAAGUGCUUCACUUUUCUUGCUUAGUAUAAGACGAGGCUUCAUUGGAACAUAACUUGGGUUGCAAUCUUCCAUGCUACUGCUUUCAAGUAUCUUCUUUGUAUAUGCGUGCUGGCAUAGUGUGAUCUCGUCCGGCUUUUGUUGUACCUCGAUCCCAAGGUAGUAACGCAAGAGCCCUAGAUCAGUCAUCUUGAAUAGCUCCUUCAUUUGUAGCUUGAAGUUUGCAAUCACCUCUUCGUCAGCUCCAGUUAUCAACAGAUCAUCCACAUAGAUGCCCACUAAGAGACGAUCCUUUCCAUUACCUUGCUUAUACAUCGUAUGCUCGAGUGGACUCUUCUCAAAACCUAGAGAAAUCAAUGUACUGUCAAGCUUGAUGCUCCAUGCUUGAUAAGCUUGUCGUAGCCCGUACAACGCCUUGUGUAGCUUCAAUACCUUGUGUUGCUCUCCUUCUUUGAUAUAUCCCGGUGGUUGCUUCACAUACAAUUCUUCUUCUAACUCCCCAGCCAAAAACGUGAAGUUCACAUCCAUGUGAUGUAUCGUCCAACAUUCUUGAGCCGCGAGAGCAAUAAGUAGCCUCAUCGAGUCCAUCCUUGCAACCGGAGAAAACACUUCUUUGAUUUCCACACCUUGCUCUUGCACGUUUGCUUUAGCCACGAGCCUUGCUUUAUGCUUCACCAAGUUCCCUUUGGCAUCCUUCUUGACUUUGUACACCCACUUGAGCUCUAUGGCACUAUGUCCGUUGGGAAGAUCCACGAGCUCACAUACUUUGUUGUCUUGGAUCGACCUCAACUCUUCAUCCAUAGCAUGACGCCAACACUCUUCCAUGAUUGCUUCUUCAAAAAUUUCCGGUUCCUCGAUGUGCAAGCAUCGUUGCCCUUUACUUUUCAUCUUCACCGAAUUUAUUUGAAGCGCUUCCUCUGGAUAGAGAUUAAAUACGCGUCGUUCAUGUGCUAUUGGAGAAGCCACAUAUUCUUUUAAACUUGCCAAAGUUCUAAUUUCUGGCGUUUCAAGACUUUCAGAGAACACACUUGCCCCUCCUCCAACGCUGCUUUCUAGGCUGAGUGCCCCUUGCAAAAUUUCUAGGAUUUGCUUCCCUUCUAGCCCUAGCCCUGGAGCUGCUGUAUACAGCUCGUACUGGCCAACACCAUCUGGCUUCUCCACUGUGCAGCACAAGCUAGUGAGCAAAUCAGCCGCUUUCGUGCUUGCACAACUUGGGUUUCUCCCACCUCUGUUCGAUGCUCGACCAAUAGCCGCAUCAACUUGCUCGUUCGGCACAACGUCGGCUCCGUGCGCUCGGGCAUGCUGUCCACAUGGGCUCUCCUCGUCCGGUCGAUCUUCUAAUGCAAUAGAUACGUCCGUGCUCAGGAUGUCCGCACAACACGAAGUUGCAUUUUCCAACAUCACGUAUGUGCCAAGUUCGUGUGGGCUAAGUGAAGGUCGCCGCAUUUCAUGUUCUAUCGCGACGACUCCAUCACAUCCCACGCCGUGUUCUUCUGGCGACACAUCUUCGCCGUCUUCCAGCGUGAUCACACUGCCACACCUUAUGUUAUGGUAUUCUGGUGUCAUAACGUCACCUGUUUCUAGCGUGACCACACCAUCACGCCCUGUGUCAUGGUCUUCAGGCGCCAUGUCUUCGCCUUCUUGCGUGACCACACCAUCACGUCUUGUGUCAUGGACUUCUGGUGCCACGACUUCACCUGGGUGUACUGAUGUGGGUGCACUCACCGGACUCAUGUCCAGAUCAUGAUCAUCUGGAUCAUCUUCGUCCACUAGUUCGCACAUCAGAAUCAUAUCCCCGUCGUCUCCUUCCUCAGCCAUGAGCGCCUGUUGCUUCGGUGCUUCCUCGCAGUCAGCCUUGAAGUGACCGAGGAGGCCACACUUAUGACAUCUCACUUUUCUGAUGUCAAACUUCCUCCUCGGUGGUGCAGGCGCAUCCUCGUCAUCCGAGUCGGCGAAGUUCUUUCUCGCCGAGCGCUGCUUCCCCUUCCCCUUCUUCUUGCUGCUGCUCGUGGAUCCGCCUUGUUGUUCUUUUGACAGGGCAAUCCAUUGUGCCUUUGUCAGCAUCAGGUGCUCACUCGCCUCUGUGUCGCCGAAACUGAGACGAAUUCUCUCGUCGUGGGCCUUGAACCUUCCGACGAGAUCCUCGACCGUGAGAGUCUUUAGGUCGAGACAUUGCUCGAUCGACAUGACGAUCUGGAUGUAGCGUGCCGGCGCGGCGCGCAAAAAUCGUCGAACGAUCGCAACUUCUUCUAGGGUUGAACCAUAGCCCCGUAUGCCAUUGACGAGGGUCUUAAGACGGGAGGCAAACUGAUCAACCGUCUCGCUUUCCUCCAUCUUCAGGCAUUCGUAGCUUCUCAUCAAGGACUGAAGGUGUGCUUCCUUGACACGUUCAUGACCCUGGUGCAGGAUCUUGAUGGUCCCCCAUGCCUCCUUCGCCGAUUUCUUUCCGACGAGGUGUUGCAGCACAUCCUUCGGCAUGGCGGAGUAGAUCGCCGUUAACGCCUGACGAUCCGUCCGGUACUUCACCGCACCCUUCGCGUACUCGGCGCCGCCGGGGUCGACAGCUUCCCAGAACUCCGGUCCCUCCAUCGCGACCUCCAUGUUCAUCGCCCAUAGUGCGUAGUCCUCUCGAUCCAGCCGGGGGAACUGCGACAUCCUCACCAUCGGCAUCGGUGCUCCCGCUCCUGCCACAACGAUCUCCUUGCCCGGGUUCGACAUGAUCUUUUGAUUGCUUUCCGAAAAUCACGUCAAUAACCAAGCUCUAGAUACCAAUUGUUGGCACAGGCCCGAUCAAGCGUUGUACGCUGGCUCCUUGACGAGUACUUUCCGUCGACCGAACUCGUACGUACAAUACCACGGUUGAUCGAUUCUUCCUGAGACAAGGUGCACGUACAAAGCUAGCUAGCAAGCAGCCUAGUAGCUGGAUGGAUUUUACUUGGUGUCAGCUAGCUUCGAAUACUACUCGGUGUCAGCUAGCUUCGAAUACGAGCCAGAUCAAG